rnacentral:tRNA from 1 species
GGGGAUUUAGCUCAGUGGUUCUGGCGUCUGCCUCGUAAGCAGAAGGACCUGAGUGUGAUCCCCA